UACGAAGGGGGCUAGCGUUGCUCGGAAUCACUGGGCGUAAAGGGUGCGUAGGCGGGUUUUUAAGUCAGAGGUGAAAUCCUGGAGCUCAACUCCAGAACUGCCUUUGAUACUGAAAGUCUUGAGUAUGGGAGAGGUGAGUGGAACUGCGAGUGUAGAGGUGAAAUUCGUAGAUAUUCGCAAGAACACCAGUGGCGAAAGGCGGC
rnacentral:rRNA from 1 species